CCUACGGGAGGCAGCAGUGGGGAAUAUUGCUCAAUGGGGGAAACCCUGAUGCAGCGACGCCGCGUGAGUGAGGAAGUAUUUCGGUAUGUAAAGCUCUAUCAGCAGGGAAGAAAAUGACGGUACCUGACUAAGAAGCUCCGGAGCACAACGUGCCAGCAGCCGCGGUAAUACGUAGGGGGCCAGCGUUAUACGGAUUUACUGGGUGUAAAGGGAGCGUAGACGGCGAAUCAAGUCAGAAGUGAAAACCACGGGCUCAACCUUGGGAGUGCUUUUGAAACUGAGUAGGUAGAGUGCAGGAGAGGUAAGCGGAAUGCGUAGUGUAGCGGUGAAAUGCGUAGAUAUUAGGAGGAACACCAGUGGCGAAGGCGGCUUACUGGACUGUAACUGACGUUGAGGCUCGAAAGCGUGGGGAGCAAACAGGAUUAGAUACCCUUGUAGUC
rnacentral:rRNA from 1 species